ACUAUUAUUGAUAGUGGAGCAUGGUAACAGGUGAUGUAUGAUGAUCAGUUACUAUUCUCCCUAUCUUUCCCGAGUCUCUCUUCCUCUUCGUCUUGUUUAAGGAAAAACUCAUCUUCUACCCUAUAAUUCACCAACUCAUUCUUACACCUACAUACUCAUUCAUCAAAUCCAACGGACGAGAAUCAUCCACCGCUUCGGAUCCAACGAACCAUACCUCCCUCACCUCCCACCGCGCACCGCUCCCAUCCACGGAAACCGCAUCCGCCAUCAUCGCCGCUUCCUCGCUCUCCCCGCGUCGCGCCAUCAUCGCCGCCUCGCCGAUCUCCUCUGCGCCGCCGCCCACGAUUCGCCACCGUCCCCACACCGUGCCGCCGCCCCUCCCCCAGCAGCCGUCCCUCACAAAUCGUCGCCGCCGUCCCCACACUGACGCCGUCCUCUAGGAUCCCCGCCGUCGGGACACCGACGCCCGCCGCUCUCACCUCUCUCGUCAGCGCCGCCAAAUCACCAUCGCCCGGAGUCGCAUGGGUCAUCGUCGCCCUCCAAGCUGAUCUCCACGCCGCCCCAGAGCAGCCUCUGCCUCUUCGCCUCGCCGUCGUCUGCGCCCUUCACCGAUCUCCGCUGUGCGGCCCCGCUAGCGCUGCCGCUUCUCCACAUGGCUCCAUGAACUUGAACCAGGGAUGCAUGUUUCAUCUCCAAAUGGUGCUGGGCUGAGUGCCAGUGAAGAGAUCAUGGAGAGGAGCCGCGCAGCCGCCAGGGCUGUUCCCCAUCAUCCUGGUCACCUGGACCUGCCACCCAGCAACAGAGACGAGGGUUCGUCUUGGUCUUGGAGUCUUCCAGAGUUGAUGGCUUUACUGUUUAUUUUCUGAACUUGAUGCAAUUUCUGAUUCACGAAGAGUGCUUCUCUGUUGCCACCUGGAUAUGGGCAUAUGGUAUGCAUCAAUGUGUGAAGAAUGGAUAAUAGUUCAACGCCCUGACUUGGCUUGCAAUUUUUCUGGGGUCUAUUCUUUAGAAUUGUGUCUAUAACAUAACACAUUCUUGUGUCUGUUGUGAAAUUUCAUGCAUCUAGGAUGAAAUUUACUUGUGCUUUCUCUGACAUGGGGGAAGUAGACAUGUAGUUAGCUUGAAAAGAAAUAAUUAAGUGACAGAAACAUCAGAAAGAAAGCCAUACUUGAUUUGUGAAUAUUAAUGUUAUAGUUUGUUCAUUCCGAAAGCAAUACUUGAUUUCUGAAUAUUAGCGUUAGAAUAUGUUCAUGAAUAAUACUGCAGUUCUUUAGUCAUUCAACUAGUGGGUGUUUGUUAUGAUUAUGCUAAAUUCCAUUCUUGCAUUCAUGGCUGGCCGGGCUCUUAAUCUAUUGGCGAAUGCAGCCAUAUUUGUUCUAAGCAAUUUCUGGUGUUAUAUUAGUCCAAUAGAAAACAAUGUGCCUUUUAUAUCUUACAUUUGUGCCAGAGUAAUAUUCAUGUAUGUUUUUUUAUAAUUAAUGUAUACAUUAUAUUAGUGUUGAGAUUAUAUUUAUGUGUCAUUCACCAUUGAAUACCUUUUUUUUUCAGAUCCACUAUUAAUUGGAUUUGCCCCUUUAUGUUAGAUUUUCUAUAUUAGUAGUAUGUAGCUGUCAUUAAGGUUGGGGCUGCAACUGAGACAACUUGAGGACCGACAGCUACUGAAGGUAUUGUUUCUCGGGCAAAGCAUAAGUCAACCUCUGUUGUUUGUACAAUCAAAGAAACAUAGAAGACCCUGAUGAGCGCAUUGGUUCAGAAGUGUUCACAACUUAACUUUCACAUAUCUGUCAAUGGAUUUGCAUUGGCUGUUUGUAUCAAAGAGAAACGGAAUGCGCUUUUCACUCUUUCAGACUACCGGUGAGGGUUUCUGGCGGGACGAUCGGUACAGCCAUUGGAAUCUGCUGCUGCCCCCAUGGAGAGUUGCGUGACUGGGGAUUGUCACUGCCUUUAGAGUCUCUCUUAAUUAUCCAGGAUUUACGAUGGUUCUCACCUGGGAUAUCAGUUUGACAAGUUCCAACUGCAGCCUGAAGGUACUUAAUGUUUUUAGCUCUUCUGAUGUUAACAGAUGCAGAUCGUGUCAACCCUUCUCCACGUAGUCUUGCAGUACCUACACUGAUCCAGAUCCAUCAAUUCGAAUGUCUCCUCGAUUUCUGUGGAAAUCAUCCAACAGGAAGCUUGAGGCUUUUUUCUGUGGACCCUACAGUAGUGUGAGAAAAUAUAAUUUGUUUACAGUUUAACCCUGCUUAA